rnacentral:lncRNA from 1 species
ACUGCGGGCAGCGAUGCUGCUCCCUCUGAGCCCUCCAGGCUUUCUGACAGACUCCAGCCGUGCCAGACCCGAUGCGGGGGGGGGCGCCCGCAUUUUGAGGGGAGGCUGCGGGUGGGGCCGGGGCCCUCUCCCCCGAGGCGGCUGCGGGCGGGGGGUGGGUCUUUAAUCCCUGAUUUUACCGAGCAGCCAGCCUCCGCGCCCUUCCCUUCCCAGCCCCGUGUGGGGGCGGUCCCGGGCCGUCCCUCCCCUCCCCGCCCACCGCGGGCCGGGGCCGCGCUCCUGCGCUGCGUCCCUCGGGCCCCGCACGCCAUUUCCUGCGCUCCCUGUUUACUUCCCGGGUCGGCCCCUGCCCAGGCACCCGUCGGCGCCGCCGCCGCCGCCCGCGGAGGGGAGGUGAGGGGCGAGGGGGGAGCGGGGCGGCGUGGGGAGGGGAGGGGAGGGGAAGGGGUGGGGGACCCCGCGCUGAGCCGGCCGCCUCUUGCCUUGCAGGUGUUCCCGGAGCCGCGCACGGAGGCCGAGUGCCUGAGCAACAUCCGCGAGUUCCUGCGGGGCUGCGGCGCCUCCCUCCGCCUGGAGGGUCAGAAGACAUUGCUUUUCAAGAAGAAAAAUACUUUGAUGUUCUUGAGAAACUUCUCACUGGUGCCUUGAGGAAUGGUUCUGGGAGCGCAGUAGCGUUGGCCUCUGGAGCAUUGUAGAGCUCAGGAGCUCAAGUAGAAGCCAUCAGUAAAGUGAGGAAAUUAAUGUAAAUCUGGGCUGAGAACCUGCUCUUGGCCAUCAGAAAGUAUCGUUACUCUGUACAGUCAGCUUUCAUCUAAGCAGGUUGACACCAGGCCCAAUCUCUUCACUUGGCUUCAAUUCUAGUUUUUACUCCAAAUUCGUUCAAAUAUCUUCAGUUCUUUUGUUCUUAGAAAUUGAACCACUGGGAGAAGGAUAAGAUAGAAUUAUUGGUUCUUAUUUUUUAGAAAGAAAAGCUACUUAGAGUUCAGUAACACAGCCUUUACCUUUCUUGCGUGGUUCUCCCCAGACUGUGUGACUAUUUAACCAUGUCAGACGUGUUGGCAGCCUGUGAUGACUUGUUCACUUACUAGUCAGAAAGUCGUUUUUAUCAUGGAGUGCUCACCAGAAUGCCACAGGAAGAGGGUCUGAACGAUGACUUGGUGAUUAGUUAGUCUUCCUCUUGUGCAAGCAGGGGUGAAACUUGAUAGCAGAGCUAUCUGGAUUUCCAGCGCGUGCUUUGUAAGUUUUUUCCUUAAACUGUUUAUAGACCGUAUUCCCCGUGCGUUUUGGCCUGGAUGUCCACAGCUGUGUUUCCUGAUUUAGGAACGUGGUUUACAUAGUUCUUGCUUAUAUAUACGUAUCAGAAAGAAAGGUGAGUUUUGCUGGGCUGAAUCUUCCUCAGGGGAUGUUUCUGAGUUUCCCUGUUGAGAUACCUCUCCGCGUGAACACUAGGAGGUGCUUAUGCAAUUGCUUUGUUUCAGCUAAACAAGUCAAUGUAAUCUGUUGUUGGAAAUUGCCAAGAAAUCUCAGCUUUGGUGUCCUGAUCAAAUUUUAUGUUUGCUAACUUUGUU